rnacentral:rRNA from 1 species
AUUGAACGCUGGCGGCAUGCCUUACACAUGCAAGUCGAACGGUAACAGGUCUUCGGAUGCUGACGAGUGGCGAACGGGUGAGUAAUACAUCGGAACGUGCCUAGUAGUGGGGGGUAACUACUCGAAAGAGUGGCUAAUACCGCAUGAGAUCUACGGAUGAAAGCAGGGGAUCGCAAGACCUUGUGCUACUAGAGCGGCCGAUGGCAGAUUAGGUAGUUGGUGGGAUAAAAGCUUACCAAGCCGACGAUCUGUAGCUGGUCUGAGAGGACGAUCAGCCAGACUGGGACUGAGACACGGCCUAGACUCCUACGGGAGGCAGCAGUGGGGAAUUUUGGACAAGGGGCGAAAGCGUGAUCCAGCAAUGCCGCGUGCAGGAUGAAGGCCUUCGGGUUGUAAACUGCUUUUGUACGGAACGAAAAGCCCCGGGUUAAUACCCUGGGGUCAUGACGGUACCGUAAGAAUAAGCACCGGCUAACUACGUGCCAGCCGCCGCAGUAA